UGGUGGUGGUGGGGAGAGAAGAACCAGUGUGUAGAAGUCACAUUACCUUUUCGGGGGAAGGAGGUAGACAGCUUUCAGUUUUAAUGAGAUUUGCCAAUUUCUCUACUCCCCACUCUUUCCUGCAUUGAUACUUGGAUUUCUAUAAAUUGGCUUAUCUUUCUCCUCUAUGAAUUGGUUACUAUGACAGACUGCAUCUGUGAAAGAAAUGCAAGAUCAAAGCACAGAGGAUGGCUGGACUGUCUGAAUUCACCUCAGUCCCUGGGUGCCAGAAAAAUCAGUUUUGAGGAAGAUGUUUCUAAUUGUUAUGCAGUCAAUGAAAGUUAUCAGGCACAACCAUGGCAACCACUUUCAGAAGCUGACCUUAAUAAGCA